UGUGUGGACCCCCGCUUCAGGCUGCAGGCCUUGGCCCCCAGUGCCCCCCCCUCACCCUGCCUGGACAGGCUGGCCCGGGGCGUGGUCAACCUGGGGCACGCUGGGGACCUCUCUGUUUCCUGCACCAGGUUGGCGAAGAUGCGAAGGGAAACCGAGCAUCAGAUGAAGGUUCACUUGUUCUACCAGCAGCUCCUGAGCGAAUCUGUGUGGGGGCCACUGGACCUGCUCAGUCUGGUGGCAGCAAGCGUCUCGAACCCAUCUGACACAAUCUUCUGGAAGGCAGCCCUCUUGUUGCCAAGUGAUCAUGAAAGAGAUGCCAA